rnacentral:misc_RNA from 1 species
GAUGAAGAACGUAGCGAAAUGCGAUAAGUAAUGUGAAUUGCAGAAUUCAGUGAAUCAUCGAAUCUUUGAACGCACAUUGCGCCCGCCAGCACUCUGGCGGGCAUGCCUGUCCGAGCGUCAUUUCAACCCUCGCGCCGUCCCUCCAGGGGGCUCGGCGCGGUGUUGGGGGACACGGCCCCGGCCGCCCCCGAAAUGCAGUGGCGACCCCGCCGCGGCCCCUCCAGCGCAGUAAGCACGCUCGCUACGGGAGGCCCGGUGGACGCGUCCGCCGUAAACCGCCCAACUCUUCAGAAGUUGACCUCGGAUCAGGUAGGGAUACCCGCUGAACUUAAGCAUAUCAAUAAGCGGAGGA